GCGGACGGUGAGUAAUGCCUAGGAAUCUGCCUGGUAGUGGGGGAUAACGUUCGGAAACGGACGCUAAUACCGCAUACGUCCUCCGGGAGAAAGCAGGGGACCUUCGGGCCUUGCGCUAUCAGAUGAGCCUAGGUCGGAUUAGCUAGUUGGUGGGGUAAUGGCUCACCAAGGCGACGAUCCGUAACUGGUCUGAGAGGAUGAUCAGUCACACUGGAACUGAGACACGGUCCAGACUCCUACGGGAGGCAGCAGUGGGGAAUAUUGGACAAUGGGCGAAAGCCUGAUCCAGCCAUGCCGCGUGUGUGAAGAAGGUCUUCGGAUUGUAAAGCACUUUAAGUUGGGAGGAAGGGUUGUAGAUUAAUACUCUGCAAUUUUGACGUUACCGACAG
rnacentral:rRNA from 1 species